UACGUAGGGGGCAAGCGUUAUCCGGAAUUACUGGGUGUAAAGGGAGCGUAGACGGUAAUGUAAGUCUGGAGUGAAAGGCGGGGGCCCAACCCCCGGACUGCUCUGGAAACUAUGUUACUGGAGUGCAGGAGAGGUCAUCGGAAUUCCUUGUGUAGCGGUGAAAUGCGUAGAUAUAAGGAAGAACACCAGUGGCGAAGGCGGAUGACUGGACGGCAACUGACGGUGAGGCGCGAAAGCGUGGGGAGCAAACAGG
rnacentral:rRNA from 1 species